CCAGUGGCGCAGUGGUUAAAGUGUUUGGCUGCUAACCAAAAGGUUAACAGUUCUACUCUGUCCUGG
rnacentral:tRNA from 1 species